CACCCCUGUGGGAGCAGCUGGAGGGCUUUUCUAACCACCUUACCAUCUGAGGAUUGAGAGCAGGCGACUGUUACAAGCUGCCACCAACAGCAAAGCUUCUGACCUUCGACUUGAGUGCAGCACAAACUCGCCAAGGCCUCGCUAGAGCCGAGGAAACAGUGAGUAAAGAUAAUAUGGUGGUUAAAAAUAGCAUUGGCAAUAUACUGUAGAUUUCCUCUGUGCGCUGAUACACUCGCCACUGAAGUCCCAGCCGUAUUAUGCUAAUCCCAGAGGACACCGUUUGUGCGUUAAAGUUUACUGUGAACAGAUGUUCACAGGUCACAGAAACCCAGAGAAAAGAGAAAGCCAAUUAAAUACUUUAUUAAAUUAAUAAUCAAAUGUGUUAUUUUAAAGAAUAAUGUAAUAUAAAAGGCACAGUUAUCUCUUUUAUUGUGAAAAGACUGCCGCGGUGAAAACACUCCAGACCAAGGGUGUCAAACCUAAGACCCGGGGACCAAAAUUGGCCAAGCAAAGCCUCCAAUCUGGCCCACUGCACAGCUUUGGAACAAGAGAAGGAGGGCACAAAGUUUGGAAAUGGGACUUCUUUUUCUAAUGCCAACAUAUCUCAGGAAUAGGGUACAAACUUCUUUAUAUUGACGGAAAGGGGAAUUUCACUGUUCAAGCACACUUAAGAUAAACAUAAUGUAUGUGGCCCACGAUGACAUUGCUGCUCCAGACAAAGACAAAAAAAUAAAUAAAUAAAAUUUAAAAAACAAACAAAACCGAAAAAAUUUGAUACUUUGAUUAAAAACAGGAGUUUGUAAUCCAGGGUUAUAUACAGUCUUCAUCAAAUGCUUUUUGCUCUUCGCUGGAUAUGGAUUCGACUAUGAAGUGAUAUGUUUUUAAAUUUUCUUUGCCUUUCUGCUUUCCACAUUAUUUUCUCUCUAUGUAGAGAUGUUAAAGUUGUGUGUCUUCUAACUAUGUUAUUCAAAGAGAAUACAUAUAUUCCUAAAAAGAAGAGGAAAAAAACAAAAAAUAAAAAACGAAAAAGGCAAAAUAUUACAGAAAAAAAAAAAAAGGUCACGCUUUUUCAUAUGUGGAACCUUGCGAAACACACUUUACUCAGGUCGUCUCCUUUUGAACAAAAAACACUAUUUUCAUCUGCACAGCUUGAAAAGCAUAAGCUCACCUUGGUGUGUUUUCAUGUGCAUACAAGGAAAGCUGAAGGCAGGGGAGGAAAGAGCUCAACGCAGCACAAAGAAGUCUAACAAUCACAGCAACUUGACAACAACUCAUGUCAGACCGCACAUGAAAAGCAGGAGCUGCAGGGAUGGUGGGUUGCAGAGUGGCUUGCAGAGACAAAAGGUGGUGGCCAGGGUUUGAAGCUGUUAAAUACAAGGAUGGAUAAUUGGACCGCACCACCACGUCCUGCUGAAGGGGAGAAUGUGUGUUUUCUUUAAUUUAAAAAAAAAGAAAAAAAGAAAAAAGAAAAAAAAAUAGUAUUUGUACUUAAAUAUUGAGUUUAGUAGUUUAGAUUUUCUUCUUUGAUCUUUAUUUUUAUUAACAAACUAGACUGUACUGCAUCAUUUGUGUGGUUUAUGAUUGUGUUGUGUAGUUACCCCUCGUGUGUCAUAGUGGGCUGAUCAGCCAUUAUAUACACCCCUGUGUCAUUUCACUUUUAGGUCAGUUAUGCUUGUUUGGGCAGUCAUUUGGUGUCUUAACUUUGUAGUCUUUGCAUGACUUUAGUUUUGUUUCUUUGACUUCUUUUAUGAGCUCAAUAUUUAUCACUUUUGUAAAUAUAAUUUUGGGUUAAAUAAAUGGAAAUCCUAUUUUUCUAAUAAUUACUGUUACGAUCAACUCCAUUACAGUUCUGUUAUUAAUGUUAAACUAAUAUUGUGAAUCACAUUUUCUGUUUAUGAUUAUAUAUUUACA
ensembl:lncRNA